UCGAGGGCUCAGGGAGGGCAGAAACCGAAACCACACGCUUUGGCAGUGCAUUCUUUGACGCGUGUUUUCUCUGCAGUGGGCGAUAGUGGGAAGUGUUCGACGCUGUUAGUAUAAUGGCUGUGUGCUUAGGCUUGCGUUUACUGGACUCUUUUGCGUAAUAACUGCACAUUAUUUGCAAAAACGGUGCGUCUCUUCCAUGCUCAUUCUGCUGCGGGGGAAAGCCCACUUUACACUUGCCUUUGCUCGCCGUCAUGUCGUUGUCUCUCACCUUGUCCUCUGUUUGACAGACGGACACGCAUGCAUUUCGAACGAGUAUGUCAAUUGUCAGCGCUUCUAAUGGAGUUCUCGCAUUCAUGGUGUCCACCAGCUGGUUUACCUGGUCCACAAAUGCAACAGAUGCAUGACAGUCUGCUAGACUGUUAUGAUGUGGCUGAUAGUGCUGCAUUGCUUUGGAGACACUGUCACUGAAGAACUACAUGGAAAGUAAAAAAGGGAAAUAUAGUAGCUGAACGGUUGUUGUUCUGUGAACAAAUGUACCAAACACACAAAUUUGAAAAUGCAAUGGGUACUAGAGAUGUGAGUGCUAUCAACACUGUUUUAACUCUUACAGCCCUUGUACUCUUCAUAGUGACAAACCACGUAGUGAACACAGAGGCAGAGGACAAGAUAGAGUCCAACGUCCUGGUGACUUCUUCGCUCACCUGGAAUGCCAUGGCAACAUUCAUCUUUUGGUAUGGUCGGGGAUUGACAUGAUCGGGUGUCAGCUUAGGGCAAGCUUUUAAGGCUGUUCCUCAGACACUUUAUCAGAUGUGAACCAGAGCCGCCUUGCAAAGUCACUGGGAUGAGUGCAGCUAACUGCACUGGUGUCAACUCCAAAGUGAGUCCACAUGUUCCGAUUCCAUGAUGCCCCGUCUGUUGUGACGACAUCAACCAAAAGACCUGCCCUCUCCAGGAGUAACACACACUCAAGGACAAGUUUGUAAAGAACAUUUCCAGGCACACUUCCCUUGCCAAGAAAGCAUGCCAAGGCUUGCACCCACUUGCCUCGGAAUGGCUGGAACAUGAAGACAAGUGCAUGAUCUCCCUUUUUGUUCUUCUGAUGGUCAGGUGUGUAUUGACCCAAGUUGGUGAAGCCGUGAAGCUUAAGUGAGGACUUGUCUAGUGACACAGCCUCCGUCAACUUCAUUUCAUCAACCAGGAGUGCGCCUGAAAUCGUAAAUUUUCCUAACAUUCAAGCGUGUUGCUUGGAAGUGCUGAAUAAGGACCCUCUCCUAUGGAAACAGGGACCGGUUGAGACAGUGAACGUAUCAUGAACGGAAUGGCUUUCCUUUGUGUGUGUGCAUGCCCACAGCGAGACUCUCGCCUAUUCGGCCUUCAGCUUAACGACCCAGCUUAAUAGUGUCAUCUCCCAUUAUCCCUCAUAUGUAACGACAGAUGAGACUAUCAUGGUGGGCAUAAGACAUACAACUUGUAAUGACCUAAUAGCAUAUGGUAAGCAGCAUAACUCUUCUGCUAGACAGAGUAAUUGGGAGGUCAGGAACUGGGAAGGUGCAUGUGGACACUGCCUUAUCACUUCAAUGCAGUGGGUUACGAAAACAAAGGAAUAACAAUAUAAAAUGGAACAUUUCGGUGCAGAGUUGUGCCCUUUUGUUCUGAUAUUAUUUUCUUUUUGUAGACCAUGGAUCGAAGUGACAAAGGACAUGACGCAUGCAUCCUGGUCUCUUUUAAGCACCAUGGACAUUCAAUAAACCGUGACAUGAAAUCUAUUCAGUUAUCUCAAAUAAUGCACCAUGACAUACCAUGCUUGUCCUCAGAUGCCAUAGCACUUGAGCGGAUCUUUAUGCACUCGAAGAUGCUCUCCUGAAAUCCGUAUAUUCCCUUCACCUUGCUAAUGUAUGUGUUGAGGGUAUCAACGCAGGGCAGAGGGAGCAGGUCUCUGGAUUGAAGGUGCUUGUACAGUGCCAGGCUUUUUAUCCUCAUCAAAAGGCACUCGUAUACCCAUUCCAUUGUGUAGCGGCGACCUUUUGGGCCCUUUCGUCUCGCGUUGCUGAAACACUGUCGAACGGCUUCUUUUUGUGAAUCAGGGAGACCGUCGAUAGCAGCUUCAAUUCUUUCGUUUGGCAAGUUUGCACACUUUUGUUUCAAGCAGUUGACUUUUUGCUGCAGCUUAACCACCUAGCAAUGCAAAACAUAAGCCUUUGGAGUCGUAUAUUACUGCUAUUAUUAGGAUUAGCCAUCCAAGGUUUGAACUACAGACGAGGGUUAAACAUGUAAACUAUUUCUUAUUUACCGUUUUUCGAAGACCUCUUUUCUGCCUGGUUAGAUCCCUUCUGGUGAGUAACGCUGGUCGUCCUCGUCCUGGUUUGGUAGUACGCUUCUUUAGGCGACUUUUUUCUUUCUCUCUACGUGUGUCUUGUCGGCAACUCGAACACCUCGUAAUCUUUGGACCCCUGGAAGUGCCUUCUGCUUCCACAUAGUAGCCUAGGCAGUUUUCUGAAAAUCUUUUUUGGAACAAGCCCAUUUACCACACAACAUUUCACUUUUACCGAUCACGAAUAACUGUUGUUACAUUCAGCAUGAGCGUUCCCUACCUGCUUGCUCCUUUUACUCCAGGACACAGGCAAGCCUCGUCCACGGUUUGAAGUGCAGAGGAUACAUCAGAACAUGACAGCACCUUCCUGUCACUAACUGUAGGCAUGUGAACAGGCUUUUGGUUCAUGAAGACUAGUGGUUGCAGGGUUUCCUUUAGGGCCAUAUAUUUUGUGACUGACAGUUCCUCAUUCACGUAAACAAAGGCAAUGAAUUUGCCCUGCAUGUCAACUGCAGUGGCCCAUUGACUGUUUGGCUUUUCCAUGCCAGUGGCUUUGCUCAAGAUCUUCUCAAAAAUGCUGUUGUCAUCUUGGUUGCUUGCUUGAUUCAAGCUAUCAUCAUCGUGAGAUGGUGCAGGCAUAUCACCUUCAUAAUGAGAGCAACUCGGUUGUGGCUCACUGCUUGCAGCACGUCGCUUUUCGGGCACGGGCCUGUCUGUUGGUGGUCUUCGUUUCCCCUCCCUUUGCUUUCUUUCGGAAGUGUUGGCGAAGAGACAUGGUACAGCAUCCUUCUUGAGCACAGGCUUGCUUCGUUCCAGUUUGUCUAUGGUGCCAUCCCUCAGUGUGGUGGUGUAAUACCUCUCAAUGUCAUCCUCUCGAAAGUGAAGGAUGCACACCUUGUCAGUUUUUAGCUCCUUGUCAAGCCUUGGAAUUGCUGCCUUCCAUUUGUUGAACAGCUCUUCAUCCUAGGGAGCAGUAACAUUACAGAAGGAGCACCAUAAAUACCAUGGAAUCAUACAUGGGCUUUGAGAUUAGGCAUGUCAGAGACCAUGGCAUUUCAAAAGAAAAGUAACUGAGUUGGGAAAACUCAGUUACCUUUGCUUUCUUCACUUAAAGCGGCAAAAAAAUCCCCAGUGGUGAGUAAAACACAAAGACAAUGACAAUACGCGGGACGAGCACUGAGCUUCAGAAGCUGUGGGUAUUCCCACAUGGGUCAAAAGCAAUACUUUCCAGCAACCUUCGUCACAGCUCAGAAAACAUGUAUAAGGAAGAUUAAUGAAGAUAAGAAAGGCAUAUGUCCCUGCUUUUAGCUUUAUCGGUGAAUGUCACUCUCUAUUCCUGGCCAGAUAUUCACUUGGUAAGGGCCACAAAAAUAAGGCACACAAACCACCACUACGAUAUCGUGGGCAUAUAUGUUUAUUGAUAACCGUUGCAACCCCAAAACAAUGACCAAGGAAAUGCUGCAAAUCUCAGGAGUGAAUGAAUUCCUUUGCUAGUUCAGUUUAUGUCUUUGUAUUGAGUGUAAUGAAAUGGCAAACAAAUAAUAGUUUGUUUAGUCAUUCACUUAAUGGUAUUUGAUGGUUUUCCCCAACCGCAGCAGCUAGUGAGAUCUCGUUCCUUUCUUUGUUGCAGAUAGCCAAGAUAAAUAACAUUCAGCUCCCAUCACUCAAGAAUUGAAGUCACUGAUUCUUGCACAAGUAGCAGUAGUUGCGUGUUUUGCUUAGUUUGGUAAAGACUAAUGAAAUAAAACACGAAAUAACAAUAUAUACAUUCGUACCCGUGUUAUUACGUGCUUUCAUUAUUACCGUGUGACCUAUUGCGCACUUUCAUAAUUACGAUCGACUUGAGCGUAUUACAGACUUCCUUCCGUUUUACAUCACAAACCUUCCCCCAUCUGAAUACAUUACUCGCUCUAUCUGCAUAUUAAAAUGCACUACAGCUUUCGCACUAAUGGUCUUUGACUCAUUAGACACACCAUCACGUUCUCCCUACACAUAUGCAUGAAGUAUUCUAUACUAGUUUCAGUAUAUUUUAUGCCCUUGCUCCAACUUUCUCGUAGUGUGCACAUGCAUCCAGUGAGAUAUACAAAUUACACUUUCAGUUUCUUACCUUGGGUACGCUGAAGAGCCUAGGAUUCUUCUCUCCUUUCUCCUUGUUCCUCUUCUUCGCAAGGGAAUUCCCCGUCUCGCAUACUGGUACAAAGCAGUUCCUACUCAUUUUCACGAGAAGUGCGGCACUAUCUUUUUAAAGUACGAUGUUGCGCAUCAUCUGCCAACAACUUUCAAAACUGCUAUCAAACAUUUAAUCUGACAGCCAUGCACAUACGACAUCAAUGGUCCGUCAGACGAAACAAGAAAAUGACUUUCAACUUUCAGGUAAGAUCGAGGAACCAGUUGUGCGUGUGGAGCGCAAACCAUAAAACUAUAAACUCCGACUUAAUCCAUAACAAGGCCGAGACACCAACAGAACUCAUGAGAACUCACUUUAUUAUAACUUUCGCUUGAUAUGGGUUCUCAAACAUGCUUUCCAAUCAGUUUUCGUUCUUUAUUUGUCGCAUCGCAAUGUGUUUCUUCAGUCACCAAAACCGAACUAAUUGCCACAAUCACAUUUGCGCAUAUCGCAUGUUUCACACGAUUAAGUUCAUAUACUUUGAUAUUUUUUUAAAAAGAAAUCCCUGGUUGAGUGCUUCAUGCGCGGGGCCCAAUAAGGCGGUCGCCUCGCCCCCCCACCCCCCCAGCCCCUUAUCGCCGGCCCUGUUUUGAGCCGAAUGUCUGAAGCUUCCUUUGAUGAUGCAGUUGGUCUCAAUAUCAUUUCGAAGUUUUUUACAGCUGAUGUUUGGGCUGCUUAAUUUUCUAUAAGUUGUGCGUACGAAGAGAUGCAAUAUGAAGUGGAAGUGCAAUUUGUGCAGGGAAACUCUGGAUGCUCAAUCUACUUGAUGCGACUCAUAUGCCUGCUCUGGUAUAUUAUUUGUGCACGUCCAUCUAAAGCAAGUCUCACAAGUGCAGCUCCAUGAGAAGUGCAGUAGAAAAUAAAUUGUCCUGAUUGUUCUACUCCCAUCCCUGUACAGAUAGACAGUUUACUGCAACAAAGUUAGUGCAAGAUGGGCAACUUGAAGACAGAGGGGACAAGUUGAGGUCACUUCAGUCCUUUGCAAAGUGUAACAUCAGGAUGGGGAGAGUUGAUGCCUUUGCUUAGAAUUUGAAAUUUUGUAAGACCCUGCACAGUAUGCAAUAAAAUGGAUCCUGUCUGCUGGGAUGGAG